CAGGGAACGACCGCAUAGUUUAACUUGGACCCUACACCACUGUUGAUGUGUCCAAGGGAGCAGAAACCAGUGAUGCCACAUCUCCUUCUGACGUGACUUACAGCACUGUCGCCCACCUUGC